UAUUUAAGGACCGUACUGUAAACCAACACAGGUGGGUUUCGUGCUAAACACGAAAAGUGAUAGAGCUUAAUUACUUAUAAGGAACUCGGCAAAAUUUGCCUAUAUCCUCGGUACUAGGUUCGUUUUUUAUUGGGAAACCCAUAAAAAACAUAAAAAUUUAUGGGAAUGACUGUUAAACACAAACACAGGACCUUGCAAAUUUUAUAAAUGAUGUAUAAGGUCUGACGCCUGCCCAGUGCUGAUUAACGAAAGUUUGAAGUUUGCGCUUCUUUCAUAAGUUGUAGUAAACGGCAGCGGUAACUCUAACCGUUCUAAGUUAAGCGAAAUUCCUUGGCAUAUAAUUGAUGUCCUGCACGAAUGGCGUAACAAUUCCUCAACUGUCUCAUAAGUAAAGUCUGUGAAAUUGAAUUCUGAGUCAAGAUGCUCAGAUCUCCUAGAAAGACAAGAAGACCCUAUGCCGCUUUACUGGAUCCUGCCGUUGCUUCUCUGAUUUUUAACUGUGUAGUCUAGGUGGGAGCCUUUGGCUUUUUUUGAAAAACCACUCUUUUAUUGAUUGUUUUGCUUCUAGUUUUUUACUAAACCGCGGUUGGUUGCUAGUUUUUCUGGGGUGGAAAACUCCUAAAAGGUAACGGAGUUGUACAAAAGGUGAACUUGAAGUUAAUAAGUUUAACUUUAAAGCGCAACGGUUUUUGUUCGCUUAACUGCGAGGCCUACUAGCCAAGCAGAGACGUAAGUCGGUCGUAGUGAUCCGAAAGACUCUGUGUGGAAAGGCUUUCGAUUAACGGAUAAAAGCUACGCUAGGGAUAACAGGCUACAGUUUGCUUAGAGCACCUAUCGCCGCAAAAAUUGAGUGCCUCGAUGUUGCCUCGUCCUAUCCUUGUGCUGCAACUGGUGCAAAGGGUGUGACUGUUCGUCAUUUAAAAGGGUACGUGAGGUGAGUUCAGAACGUUGUGAAACAGUUCGGUUUAUAUCUUCUAGGAGUGAGAAACGCAGAAGUUUUGAAUUUAGUACGAGAGGAAUUAUUAAAAUGUGCCUAUGGUUUGUGAGUUUUUAUAGGCUUAUCAGCUACGCAUUUUGGAGAAGUACCGAUGAAAGCAUCUAAAUCGGGAAUCCCUCUUCAGAU
rnacentral:rRNA from 1 species